GGGAGGGUAGCUUAGCCUGGCUAGAGCACUCGGCUGAUAACCGAGAGGUCAUGGGUUCGAAUCCCAUCCUUCCCA
rnacentral:tRNA from 1 species